UACAGAGGAGCCAAGCGUUGUCCGGAUUGACUGGGCGUAAAGCGCACGCAGGCGGUUGCGCGCGGGGGGUGUGAAAUCUGGCCGCUUAACGGCCAGGCGCCAUCCCAUACGGCGCGACUGGAGUGAUGCAGAGGUCGAUGGAAUUGCCGGUGUAGUGGUGAAAUGCGUAGAGAUCGGCAGGAACACCCAGGGGGAAACCAGUCGACUGGGCAUCUACUGACGCUGAGGUGCGAGAGCGUGGGGAGCGAACAGG
rnacentral:rRNA from 1 species